rnacentral:rRNA from 1 species
AGAGUUUGAUCAUGGCUCAGGACGAACGCUGGCGGCGUGCUUAACACAUGCAAGUCGAGCGGAAAGGCCCUUCGGGGUACUCGAGCGGCGAACGGGUGAGUAACACGUGAGCAACCUGCCCCUGGCUCUGGGAUAGCUCCGGGAAACCGGGAUUAAUACCGGAUGUGACUUCCUCCCGCAUGGGAGGCGGUGGAAAGUUUUUCGGCCAGGGAUGGGCUCGCGGCCUAUCAGCUUGUUGGCAGGGUGAUGGCCUACCAAGGCGACGACGGGUAGCCGGCCUGAGAGGGCGACCGGCCACACUGGGACUGAGACACGGCCCAGACUCCUACGGGAGGCAGCAGUGGGGAAUAUUGCGCAAUGGGCGGAAGCCUGACGCAGCGACGCCGCGUGCGGAUGACGGCCUUCGGGUUGUAAACCGCUUUCAGCAGGGACGAAUCGAGACGGUACCUGCAGAAGAAGCGCCGGCUAACUACGUGCCAGCAGCCGCGGUAAUACGUAGGGCGCGAGCGUUGUCCGGAAUUAUUGGGCGUAAAGAGCUCGUAGGCGGCCAGUUGCGUCCGCUGUGAAAUCCCGGGGCUUAACCCCGGGCGUGCAGUGGAUACGGGCUGGCUAGAGGCAGGCAGGGGAGAACGGAAUUCCUGGUGUAGCGGUGAAAUGCGCAGAUAUCAGGAGGAACACCGGUGGCGAAGGCGGUUCUCUGGGCCUGUUCUGACGCUGAGGAGCGAAAGCGUGGGGAGCGAACAGGAUUAGAUACCCCCGUAGUCC